AGAGUUUGAUCCUGGCUCAGGAUGAACUUUGGCGGCGUGCCUAACACAUGCAAGUCGAGCGAAGCACUUUGCUUAGAUUCUUCGGAUGAAGAGGAUUGUGACUGAGCGGCGGACGGGUGAGUAACGCGUGGGGUAACCUGCCUCAUACAGGGGGAUAACAGUUAGAAAUGACUGCUAAUACCGCAUAAGACCACAGCACCGCAUGGUGCGGGGGUAAAAACUCCGGUGGUAUGAGAUGGACCCGCGUCUGAUUAGCUGGUUGGUAAGGUAACGGCUUACCAAGGCGACGAUCAGUAGCCGACCUGAGAGGGUGACCGGCCACAUUGGGACUGAGACACGGCCCAAACUCCUACGGGAGGCAGCAGUGGGGAAUAUUGCACAAUGGGGGAAACCCUGAUGCAGCGACGCCGCGUGAGCGAAGAAGUAUUUCGGUAUGUAAAGCUCUAUCAGCAGGGAAGAAAAUGACGGUACCUGACUAAGAAGCACCGGCUAAAUACGUGCCAGCAGCCGCGGUAAUACGUAUGGUGCAAGCGUUAUCCGGAUUUACUGGGUGUAAAGGGAGCGUAGACGGAUGGGCAAGUCUGAUGUGAAAACCCGGGGCUCAACCCCGGGACUGCAUUGGAAACUGUUCAUCUAGAGUGCUGGAGAGGUAAGUGGAAUUCCUAGUGUAGCGGUGAAAUGCGUAGAUAUUAGGAGGAACACCAGUGGCGAAGGCGGCUUACUGGACAGUAACUGACGUUGAGGCUCGAAAGCGUGGGGAGCAAACAGAAUUAGAUACCCUGGUAGUCCACGCCGUAAACGAUGAACUACUAGGGUGUCGGGUGGCAAAGCCAUUCGGUGCCGCAGCAAACGCGAUAAGUAGUCCACCUGGGGAGUACGUUCGCAAGAAUGAAACUCAAAGGAAUAGACGGGGACCCGCACAAGCGGUGGAGCAUGUGGUUUAAUUCGAAGCAACGCGAAGAACCUUACCUGCUCUUGACAUCCCGCUGACCGGACGGUAAUGCGUCCUUCCCUUCGGGGCAGCGGAGACAGGUGGUGCAUGGUUGUCGUCAGCUCGUGUCGUGAGAUGUUGGGUUAAGUCCCGCAACGAGCGCAACCCCUAUCUUUAGUAGCCAGCGGCCAGGCCGGGCACUCUAGAGAGACUGCCGGGGAUAACCCGGAGGAAGGUGGGGAUGACGUCAAAUCAUCAUGCCCCUUAUGAGCAGGGCUACACACGUGCUACAAUGGCGUAAACAAAGGGAAGCGAGACCGCGAGGUGGAGCAAAUCCCAAAAAUAACGUCUCAGUUCGGAUUGUAGUCUGCAACUCGACUACAUGAAGCUGGAAUCGCUAGUAAUCGCGAAUCAGAAUGUCGCGGUGAAUACGUUCCCGGGUCUUGCACACACCGCCCGUCA
rnacentral:rRNA from 1 species